CCUACGGGGGGCUGCAGCUAAGAAUAUUCCGCAAUGGACGAAAGUCUGACGGAGCGACGCCGCGUGGAUGAAGAAGGCCGAAAGGUUGUAAAAUCCUUUUAUUGAUGAAGAAUAAGUGUGGUAGGGAAUGACCGCAUGAUGACAUUAGUCGGUGAAUAAGCCCCGGCUAACUACGUGCCAGCAGCCGCGGUAACACGUAGGGGGCAAGCGUUGUUCGGAAUUAUUGGGCGUAAAGGGCAUGUAGGCGGUUUGGUAAGCCUGAUGUGAAAUCCUGCAGCUUAACUGUAGAAUUGCAUUGGGUACUGCCAGACUUGAAUCACAGAGGGGAAACUAGAAUUUCAGGUGUAGGGGUGGAAUCUGUAGAUAUCUGAAAGAAUACCGGUGGCGAAGGCGGGUUUCUAGCUGAUGAUUGACGCUGAGGUGCGAAAGUGCGGGGAGCAAACAGGAUUAGAUACCCGGGUAGUC
rnacentral:rRNA from 1 species